GGCGCGGCGGAGGUGGGAGGAUCCCUUCAGGCCAGGCAGUCAAGAGCAGCCUGGGCAACAUGGCGCGACCCCAUCUCUGAAGUCCCACCUCAGCUUCCCAGCUACUUGAACUCCAAGGUUCAUGGCUCCAAUGAGCUAUGUUCCCACUACAUCACCCCAGCCUGCGAGACUGAGGCCAAAAUCAACAGCCGAUUUGGAUACCAUCAAGACACCUGAAACCUUAUCAUGAGCCAGAUUCUGGGAGGAUCCCAAGGACCCCUCAGUUGCAGCCAUGGUGAGACUGACACUGAGGAGGACCCCAACUGUCACAAGCAACACCUGUUGAACACAGCCACCCACCUGGGGACAGAUCAAGAAGCUGUCACAGAUGGCAGAAGAAAACGUGAGGAAAGCGGGACAACCAGUCACAAUGGUCUGCAGAUGUGGAUCCUGACUUCUGUGAGAAGUAGCUCACCAGGACAAAGCUGCCUUUGCUUUUAUCAAUUUGCAAAUCAAAGAAGGGGGACAUGUUGGGAACAAGCCCCCCCCCCAAAUCUGGCCAUAAACUGGCCCCAAAACUGGCCAUAAACAAAAUCUCUGCAGCACUGUGACAUGUUCAAGAUGGCCAUAAAGCCCAUGCUGGAAGGUUAUGGGUUUACCGGAAUGACAGCAAGGAACCCCUGGCCUGCCCAGGGUGGAAAACCACUUAAAGGCAUUCUUAAGCUGCAAACAAUAGCAUGAGCAAUCUGUGCCUUAAGGACAUGCUCUGCUGCAGUUAACUAGCCCAACCUAUUCCUUUAAUUUGGCCCAUCCCUUCGUUUCCCAUAAGGGAUACUUUUAGUUAAUCGAAUAUCUAUAGAAACAAUGCUAAUGACUGGCUUGCUGUUAAUAAAUACGUGGGUAAAUCUCUGUUUGGGGCUCUCAGCUCUGAAGGCUGUGAGAUCCCUGAUUUCCCACUAUACACCUC